UAUUUUUGUUAGUCAUGUCUUGCUGUCAUCUUGUUCAAUCAAAAUGUACCAAGUCAUCAACUUCCCUGUUGUACCUUCCAGCAGGAAUCAAUGUUUGAUAGAAAAUAUUACAUUAAAGAUAUUAAGGACUCGACCCUUGUGCUGGAAAAUUUUAUGAAUGUAUCUCUUGACAACUAGUCUGGCCUUGAAUCUUUCAAUUGAUUCAUCUGCUUUGUGUUUCACAGUGAAUACCCAUUAGUGUAUCCUACCUUGUGUUUCAUAGUGAACACCCAUUUGUAGCUAACUGGCUUUUUUCCAAGUAGAAGAGACAUCAACUCCCAGAUCUGAUUUUUAGUCAAGGCUUUCAUUUCUUCAAUCAUUGCUCCCUUACAAUUAGAAUUUUUGAGAGCUUCCUUCCAAUCCUAUGGGAUAGACAAAGCAAAAGCUCUAUAGGAUGGAGACAAAGAAUCAUAAGAGAGAAAGUUAUGAAUAGAGUGCUUUGUGCAAGCUUAACUCUUUUUUUAAGCAAUUGGUCUAUUUAGAUCAUCAAUAGGCUCAAGGUUUAGGGAUGACUCACCAGAUAGAGAAGAAGAAGAUUCAUGACACUGAGUAGGCUGCAAAAUGCUUUUUCUGCUUUUGUUGUGUCUCUUCUUGAGUAUCUCCUUAAAUCUGGUUUAUCCAAAUGCCCAAUUAUCUUUUUCUGAUCACCAAUAGUCUCUUCUAGAGUAAAACGCUGUAGAGUUAUAGGACUAGGAAUCAUCUCUUCUCUCUCAUUGUUCUCCUCCUGAAGAGGUGAUGGGAUGGUACUAAAGUAAGGUUCGGACUCUCUAAAUGUAACAUCCAUACUGACAAAGUAUUUUUUAGAUGGAGGGUGGUAACACUUGUAACUUUUUUGUGUGAGAGAGUACCAACAAACACACAUUUAAGAUCCCUCGGAUCGAGUUUCCCGCAUGUCCUAGUAUGAACAAAACACAUGCAUCCAAAUACCUUUAGUGGAAUAGUAUAAGCAUUUUUUUUCUUGUAACACCUCUAAAAGACUUUUAAAGUUUAGAGCUUUGAGAGACAUUCUAUUAAUGAGAUAAGCUGCGGCUAAGACUAUAUCUCCGCAAUAGGUUUUUGGAAAGUUCAUGGUGAAAAGGAGAGAUCGGGCUACUUCCAACAGGUGUCUAUUUUUUCUUUCAGCAAUACUAUUUUGGGCACUAGUGUAAAAAUAAAUAGUUUGAUGCAGUAUCCCAUUAGACUCCAAAUAAGCUGAAAAAUGGCUAUCCAUGUACUCUGUACCAUCAUCAGUUCUCAAAACUUUUAUCUUAGCAUUAAAUUAAGUACAAAUCAUCUUGUGAAAAGAUUGAAAGUAAGAAACUAUAUCACUCUUUGCCUUUAUCAAAUAAACCCAAGUCAUGCGAGUGCAAUAAUAAAUAAAAGUAAUAAACCAAUGAUUACCAAAUAGUGAGACCGUUUGAGUAGGUCCCCAAACAUCAGAAUGGAUGAUUACAAAAGGGAUCAUACUCCUAUUAUUACUGUUACUGGAAGGAUAAGAGGUUCUUGUGUACUUAGCAUACUCACAAGUAUCACAAACUAAAGAACCACAUUGAGCCUUGAAAAAUAAAUCAGAAUAAAGUUUCUCUAAAACAAAGAAGGAUGGGUGUCUUAACUGUCAAUGCCACUGUAUGAUUUCCUGAUUUACAUUCUGAUUUCUUCCAAAAAGAGACCGAGGUGAAUUCAAACCCAGAUUCCCUUCCAACAUAUAUAGCCAUCGUACAGUCUGCUAUAGCUAAUCCUCUUUCCAGUUUAAAGGUCCUGAAUAACACAAUGGUCAAGAAAAAACUAAAUUUUACAGUUUGGUAAGAGCACUGACAGAUAAAAGAUUAACAGGAAAAUGAGGAACAUAGAUAACAGAAGAUAGCUUAAUAUUGGAAGUACAAACAAUCGAUCUGGUUCCAGAGACAGGAAUAAAAGAACCAUCGGCUAUUCUGAUUGUGUCCUUUUGUAGACUUGGAAGGUAAUUACGGAAACUUUUGGAGGAACUCGUUAUGUGUUUAUUUGUACCAGAAUUAAUAAUCCAUGGAGCAGUAUAAAAAAUACGUACAUCACCUCCAUUAGUGUCUUUCUUAUCUGACAUUUUAAAGGUAAAAAGAGGCCAACAACACGAAGUAGGAACGACCAAUUUGAUGUUAAAACACCUUGAAAAACCCAAAGGAGAAUCCGGUCACAGAACAGGGCCAGUUAGAGGUGCGGCAUGCCAGAAAGAGAGCUGAAAAGGAGUGCAUCGACGAAAAAGGAGCCCGGAGAAAGGCUGACAUGCCGGUGCGUGGAAGGAGACGUAGAAUGCUUGUGGUUGCGCAUGAAGCCAGUUGGACUGUGGACACGUGUCUUGAUCAGAAGGGAGUCCAUGCUUUUUAUGUUAUCAUGCACCAAAUAACAAUAUUUAAGAAGGUUGAAUUUUUUUAUCUUCCAAUACAUAGUGUAUGAUUUUAAAACAUAUGAAUGUUACGCUUGUGUCACAUGUGUUGUCUUGGCCUAAUAACUCCUUUUAAGUGUCAACUCCCUUACAUGUUUUCUUAGCAACCCAUCAACUUUUUGAAGUA